GAUGAACGCUGGCGGCGUGCCUCAAACAUGCAAGUCGAGCGAGGCUAUGAAUUACCGCAAGGUAAGGCAUAGCCUAGCGGCGAACGGGUGAGUAACACGUGGGUAACCUACCUGGAAGACAGGGAUAACGAUUCGAAAGGGUCGCUAAUACCUGAUAAUAUCCAUCUGCCGGAUGGCGGAGGGAAGAAAGGGGAAACCCGCUUUCAGAUGGGCCCGCGUCCCAUCAGCUAGUUGGUAAGGUAAAGGCUUACCAAGGCGACGACGGGUAGCCGGUCUGAGAGGAUGUACGGCCACACUGGGACUGAGAUACGGCCCAGACUCCUACGGGAGGCAGCAGUUGGGAAUCUUAGGCAAUGGACGAAAGUCUGACCUAGCGACGCCGCGUGAGGGAAGAAGGCCUCGGUUGUAAACCUCUGUCAUGGGGAAGAAGGAAGUGACGGUACCCAAGAGGAAGCCCCUGCUAACUACGUGGCAGCAGCCGCGGUAAUAUAGCGUACU
rnacentral:rRNA from 1 species